ensembl:lncRNA
UUUCCACUCUCUCCUGAGCCUUUCCUGUGCCUGUUGCUGUGUUAGCACAAGUCAGCUGGGCAGCUGCCAGGACAAGCCUUCUAGGGGGCCCUUUGACUGCUGUCAGCUUCCCAGGGCCCUGGGCUGGUGAGGCCGCCAGCAGAGCAAAAAGCUCCAUGGGAUUAGCCUCCCCAGAGUCACUUGAGGGCCAGGCAGUGGAAACGAAAAGGCUUAUGCCUUUUGCCUUACUUUUCUUUUUCCCCUCAGGUCUCUAGGCACUUGUCGAGUGGGGAGCCGGGGCUGUGUGGUAGAGUAAAAAUAAAGUGGGUGCUAGAGGCUGGCAGACUUGUGAGUACUGCUUCCACAGGUAGCUGAGUGACUUUGGGCAGGUCACAUAGCCUUUCCGAGCCUCAGUUAUCCUCAUUCGUAAAACUGGGAUAAGAAUACCUUCUUUUUUUGUUUUUUUGUUUUUUUUUUUUGGUCUUUUUAGGGCCACACCUGCAGUAUGUGGAGGUUCCCAGGCUAGGGGUCGAAUCGAAGCUGCAGCUGCUGGCCUGGACCACAGCCACAGCAAUGCUAGAUCCCAGCAAUGCCUGCGACCUGUGCUGCAGCUCAAGGCAGUGCUGGAUCCUUAAUCUACUGAGUGAGGUUAGGGCUCGAACCCACAUCCUCAUGGAUGCUAGUCGGAUUCUUAACCUGCUGAGCCACAGUGGGAACUCAAGAAUACCUGUUUUUUGCUGGGUUGUUGCAAAGCUAAGGUAACAUGUAAAGUUCUCAGCAGAGUCCAUGGCAGCAAGUAGGUGCCCAAUAAGUGUGUUGGCUGCUUUAGUUUUAUUGUAGGAAAAAGUUGCAUGUAACCCUGUGAUCCUGGGGAGGUAGGGAUCUGGAGGAGGGAGCCUUGGCUGGGAGAGUGCUCAUAGGUGCCGUCACAGGCCUAGUGAUUGAGGGCUUCUUAGGAGUAUUUUACAGGAAGGACCAGCUGGCGGCGGCGGGAGUGCAGGCUUAGACCUGUGUUACUAGGUUGUCCCCUUGCCAGUGCUAUCCCAAAGUUGGAGAUGAGAAGUGGGGAGCAGGGCGUGGGGAAUGGCCCUAGAGUGCCCCACUUCAGAAUGGGUGGAGGAGAGAGCUUUGGAGUUGGAGACCAGUGAACACGGUGGCCUGGAACAGGCCCCUUCACCUCUCUGGCUUUGGUGUCCCCACUUGCAAAAUGGGGAUACGGAUGUGCUCUGAGGUGUAGUGUAAAAAGAAUGAGAGGCCAGCUUAGCCAGUGCUCCAAAAACAUGCAGGUGCUGUUCUGUCCUGUAAAAUCUUGCUUUUACCGAAUCAGAAUGGCAGCCAGUCUGAAUAACGGCAUAGACAUAAAUGCUCCUUUAUUCUUUUUCUGAACAGUCUCUCAAACUAUUUGCUAAGGUAAAAAUGUUUGGGGAAUCAGCUUUACAAGUAAAGAGGAUAAUCACAGUGUAUCAUUUUGCAUCCUGUUCCAGCAGUACCUUGAGGUGCUUAAAAAUAGUUUAUUCUUUUUGAGCUAAGUUUGUUAACAUUAGUUAUCUGUUUACCACAUCUUUUUAUAUCAUGCAGAGAUAAACCAUGGCUUGUUUUUUGUUUAAAAAUUCCAAAUGGGUCCUCCAAAUAUUUUUGAGUUUUUUUUUUUUUUUUAAACGUCUUUACUGGUGUCUCAGAAAGGGCGGUUCUUCUCUCUAGAAGAGUCCGGAGUCCUCCAUGCCCUUCUGCCCUGCUCCACACUGUCCAUUCUGUUUGCCUGUGGGCCUGAGCUGCCAAGUGCAGCUGGAGCAUAUUGCAUAACCGUGCUGCCUGGAGCUCUCCGUUUAUGGUUCUGGAUGCAACGUUCAAGGUGACGUUUUUAAAAACCAAGUUCCUCAAGCCCUCAGCCCCAUCCCCGCACUGCUCUUAGCCCUGGCUGCUUGCUCGGCACCUCCACCACUACAUGGGGAGGCCAGUCUGGCUAAAAGCCUUCCUCCUUUGGUCCCAGUCACACCUGUGCUUUGCAGUGUCUGGUGCUCUUCAUGGAAUUCCGUCGACAUCACUGCCGCCUCCAUUUCCCUUUCUGGCUCUCUGCUCUGCCCCCGCCCCUCCCGUUCUCCUAACUCUGAGUCUUCUUCCCGCUCCAUCCUUGGCUUUUUUCUUGCUGGACGGUUUUAGCUGCACCUGCGGCCUCAACCACCGGCUAUAUUUACCUUGAGGGCUUCCAGAUGUCUAUCUCUCGUGGUGAAUUUCCCCCCAAGCUCCAGAUCAUUCUCCGAAACAGCUGGCUAUUCAUCUGUCUAGAUUUCCCAUAUAGCGUGAUGGUUAAAAGUGUUGAGCUGGGUUUGAAGCUUAACUGUGUAAUCUAGUUGUGCCACCAGAAAAGUCCCUCCACUUCUCCAAGCAUCGUCUGUACAAUGGCGACGAUUCCUGUGGAGAUGGAGAGUGGGAAACACCCAGCGUGGCGUUCGGCGUAGAGUCCAGCUCCUCUCCUCUUGCUGAGUUGGUCCUGACCGCCUGCCCCGACCCCGGCCAACCUGUGGUGACCUGCUUCUUCAUCUGGAAUUCAUCCUCUGUUCUCCAUCUUACUUCCCUGCUUCAGCCCAUCAUCUCCUGCCUAAACUUUUCGUCUCUUCCAUUCCUGCCAGUGUUUUCCCUCUAAAACACAUCUUUGACGAGAUCACUUCUAAGGGGCCUCCAAGGCGUCCCUUGCCAAAGCCCCAUGUUCCAUGAAGUUUCUUUCACCAUCUUGCCCCCGCCUCCCUCCCUUUGUCCCCAGGAUGGAGCCACUUUUUUGCCAUUUCCUGAACACGUCCUGCUUGUCCAGAUCUUGACGCCUCCUUGGCUGCACCGGGCCUCCUUAGCUGUCUGGGGAGCUCCACUGCACUAUGAGUCGUGGCGUGUGAGGGUCCACACCCCUCCCUGAGCUAAGACAGCCGUUCCUCUGCCUCUAGCCCUGUGUUUGCUCUCCCACUGCAGCAUCUCACAUGGCACGGACUCUGUGGCCAUAGGGAUGGGCCCCAGACUGAGUUCCUUGAGGGCAGGGACCCUGCCUUACUCAACUCUGUCCCUCGCACAGGGCGUCACAAUAAAUGUUGAAUGAAGUAA